AACGUAGGUGGCAAGCGUUAUCCGGAAUUACUGGGCGUAAAGGGUGUGCAGGCGGGGGGGCAAGUGGGGUAUGAAAUCUCCCAGCUUAACUGGGAUAGGUUAUGCCAGACUGCUACUCUAGAGGACGAGAGAGGGGCGUGGAAUUCCGGGUGUAGUGGUGAAAUGCGUAGAGAUCGGGAGGAACACCAGCGGCGAAGGCGGCGACCUGGACAGUCACUGACACUCAACUACGAAAGCGUGGGGAGCAAACAGG
rnacentral:rRNA from 1 species